UCCCCCCUGCUGUCUUUUCGAUUAACUGGCUUGUUUCGUCGGCCAGCAUUUGGACUUCCAGGGAACCGCUUCCAUUUUUCGUUUUGUAUUUUAUGAAUCGACAGGAGAUGGACUACAUAAUUGAUCUUUUUUUUUUGGCACAUUACAUAAUUGAUUUUGGGUGCUCUGUGUCCAUGCGUGAAUGCACACACUCGUGUCCUUUUGUUUUAAGAAUCAA
rnacentral:lncRNA from 1 species